rnacentral:rRNA from 1 species
AACGAACGCUGGCGGCAGGCUUAACACAUGCAAGUCGAGCGCCCCGCAAGGGGAGCGGCAGACGGGUGAGUAACGCGUGGGAACAUACCCUUUGGUUCGGAAUAACUCAGGGAAACUUGAGCUAAUACCGGAUACGUCCGUAAGGAGAAAGAUUUAUCGCCAAAGGAUUGGCCCGCGUCCGAUUAGCUAGUUGGUGAGGUAACGGCUCACCAAGGCUACGAUCGGUAGCUGGUCUGAGAGGAUGAUCAGCCACAUUGGGACUGAGACACGGCCCAAACUCCUACGGGAGGCAGCAGUGGGGAAUAUUGGACAAUGGGCGCAAGCCUGAUCCAGCCAUGCCGCGUGAGUGAUGAAGGCCUUAGGGUUGUAAAGCUCUUUUGUCCGGGAAGAUAAUGACUGUACCGGAAGAAUAAGCCCGGCUAACUUCGUGCCAGCAGCCGCGGUAAU